rnacentral:rRNA from 1 species
UACAGAGGGUGCAAGCGUUGUUCGGAAUUACUGGGCGUAAAGCGCGUGUAGGUGGCGAUGUAAGUCGGGUGUGAAAUCCCUCAGCUUAACUGAGGAAGUGCACUCGAUACUGUGUCGCUUGAGUGUUGGAGGGGAUGGCGGAAUUCCCGGUGUAGAGGUGAAAUUCGUAGAUAUCGGGAGGAACACCUGUGGCGAAGGCGGCCAUCUGGACAACUACUGACACUGAGACGCGAAAGCGUGGGUAGCAAACAGG